GAACCUGGUCUAAGCAGUGCUAUUUGCUUGAUGUGGGUUCCAUAGCCUUCUAUUGGAGUGGAAGAAAACAUUGUCUUAUGCCUGUGGAGAAACUUGUAGUGGACUCUGCCACCACUUGCCGAUACUUAUUAGGGUGCGACCGUAACCUGGAGACAGGAAGAAAACUGGAAAAACUUGUAGUGGACUCUGCCACCACUUGCCGAUACUUAUUAGGGUGCGACCCUAACCUGGAGACAGAUUGCCCCUUUCUUUGCCCAAUUGGGGUGAAGAGUGGAUUGCCAUGCCUUUAACGUGUGGCGCAUGGUGUUCGUUUUUAAUAGCUUUCCC